rnacentral:miRNA from 1 species
GUUUUGUUUUGUUUUUUUUC